rnacentral:rRNA from 1 species
AUUGAACGCUGGCGGCAGGCCUAACACAUGCCAGUCGAACGGUAACAGGAAGCAGCUUGCUGCUUCGCUGACGAGUGGCGGACGGGUGAGUAAUGUCUGGGAAACUGCCUGAUGGAGGGGGAUAACUACUGGAAACGGUAGCUAAUACCGCAUAACGUCGCAAGACCAAAGAGGGGGACCUUAGGGCCUCUUGCCAUCGGAUGUGCCCAGAUGGGAUUAGCUAGUAGGUGGGGUAACGGCUCACCUCGGCGACGAUCCCUAGCUGGUCUGAGAGGAUGACCAGCCACACUGGAACUGAGACACGGUCCAGACUCCUACGGGAGGCAGCAGUGGGGAAUAUUGCACAAUGGGCGCAAGCCUGAUGCAGCCAUGCCGCGUGUAUGAAGAAGGCCUUCGGGUUGUAAAGUACUUUCAGCGGGGAGGAAGGGAGUAAAGUUAAUACCUUUGCUCAUUGACGUUACCCGCAGAAGAAGCACCGGCUAACUCCGUG